rnacentral:rRNA from 2 species
UACAGAGACUGCAAGCGUUAUUCGGAUUCACUGGGCGUAAAGGGUGCGCAGGCGGCCGGGUGUGUCAGAUGUGAAAUCCCGAGGCUCAACCUCGGAACUGCGUCUGAAACUACUCGGCUAGAGUACUGGAGAGGGUAACGGAAUUCACGGUGUAGCAGUGAAAUGCGUAGAUAUCGUGAGGAACACCAGAGGCGAAGGCGGUUACCUGGACAGUUACUGACGCUCAGGCACGAAAGCAUGGGGAGCAAAAGGG